GAGGGGGGCCUACCGGGGCAGUAGGACCUGCUAAGCCCUACACCCGCGGUUAAAUUCCGCGGACCGCUCG
rnacentral:tRNA from 1 species